UACGAAGGGGGCUAGCGUUGUUCGGAAUCACUGGGCGUAAAGGGCGCGUAGGGCGGCUUGAUAAGUCGGGGGGUGAAAGCCUGUGGCUCAACCACAGAAUUGCCUUCGAUACUGUCGAGCUUGAGACCGGAAGAGGUAAGUGGAACUGCGAGUGUAGAGGUGAAAUUCGUAGAUAUUCGCAAGAACACCAGUGGCGAAGGCGGCUUA
rnacentral:rRNA from 1 species